rfam:Setaria italica strain Yugu1 chromosome IX, whole genome shotgun sequence.
GCCGAGCAGCUAGCGCCUGCUUGUAACCCGAGCGGGGGCAUUAAGGUGGUGCGGAUGCCAAUUGUGGCGCUUGGGCCUGGGUCUGCUGCCGCAAUCUGCGGCCCGCCCGUUCCAAGUUGCGUAGUGGGCCGUUGGGUGCUUCGGCGAAGGCCUUGGCGUCCCGGCACCUAGAGCGGCGGGCAAUGCGUGAGGCUGGCUUCACAGAGCAGCGAAUACCGCCCGCUUCCAACGGUGGAAGGAUAACGGGCCGCUGCGCUUCAGUCCCGCUUAGGCCCAUGCGCCCUCUCUGGCAGACCACCAUCUUU